UGUAUAAAUCUCUGUGAGAUAGGACGAUAUGCAUGUGUCUGUCCUGACGAGUAUUCUAUUGUGAACUGUGAGUUGGAAAUUGAUGAAUGUGGAACCCAGCCGAGUCUACAUCAUGCCACAUUUCAGGAUGCUCUUGGGGCUUACUCUGAGACUACACACCUGGAUUCCUUGAAGACUACUGUGAUUUCAACAUUGAUGAAUGUGCCAGUCAGCCAUGUCUCCAUGGAGGACUAUGCAUGAAUGGAGGAAACAACUACUACUGUAACUUACACAGGUGGUGGAUUCACAGGGACACACUGAGAGACUUUGUUGUCUCAUUGUUGGUCAAUGAGACAAGUCUUAUCACAAUGGUACAACAAGUAAAGACACUGUUGCCAGCUAUAUUUGUUAUUGCUGCCCUUGACACAGAUGGACACAAAUGAAUAAAGUAGCAACCCCUGUCAAUUUUGGGGGUGGGGGAAAUGUGCUGAGCUGUCAUCAGAGGAUCAAUAGGUACUCAUUGCUGGCCUGCCUUCCUCCUUCACCUACCUUGGAGCUUCAGGCUAUGUUUAUAUCUGUCAGCCUAGAUUC
rnacentral:lncRNA from 1 species